ensembl:snoRNA
AAGUCUGUUUCUAAGGGCUGUGACUGUCUGUGGCCAUGGGAUCUCCAACUGCAUGCCAGAGCAAUCUGGAGGGGUGUGAGCAGCCCAGGUCAGCACGAUUCCUGCAGCUGCCAUUUGCUUUUCCUGUAAUA